AUUUAGCCUUUCCACUGCACGUGGGUCAUGUGACUAAUGUCAAACUCACAGCCACUCCUACUUAAGAUGGCUUCUCUUUGUUACACAACUGUUUGCCUGAUGAAGGUCUAGUCACCGAAACGUUGCAGCAUUGAAAUCAUUAUUUUUGCAAGUGAGACAGUGAGCGGGAGUUUUUUCUACAAGUUGUAUUCUUCUCGUCCCUCUCCUACGCACCUGUUUGGAAACAGAUGUGCCAAGUAUUCCUUUUUUUCUCACGCUUUACCACGAGCUCUUUUCAAGAGAUCAACACUGACAGAUAACUGCGCAGCGACGUCUGCGUCUCCUGUGAAGAUGCCAAAAGGAUUUUGUUCCCUGCUGUCCGUAUGGAAGGCGCUGAGGCUUCCGAAGACGCAGAAGCAACGUUGGAGAGACUGCAAAGAGACACGCCUCUUUAUGCAUGGCUCAACUUUGAGCCAAUACUGGAGAGACAAGAAAAUCCCUCGGGGUUUACGCAUCAGCCAACAACAGGGAGAUCAGAUGAGAACUUUAUUAAAUGAUGAGGAGAGCUUUUCAAUAAAGACUUCCUCCGUUUAAUGUUACUCAUUAUCGAUCAGGUGUCGAUGGAAGCGAGCACAGUGAAGGCUGAGAUUAUGAAACACAUCCACUCUUCCUUCCACUGAGCGCUCCAUAAAGGACACUGUGUGCAAAUACGAAGAGAAGCGACUCAGCAUCAAACUGAAAAAGGACAAACGCGACACGGUGGAUUACUUGAGAAGCGAGAUUUACCAUUGGGAGUUCAAGAAACGUGUGUGUUCAUCCCAGACAUCUGAAACUACACUAUUUCGCACGGGUGCACCGAGGACCAGGAAUGCGCACCGACACACACCUAACUAUCGGAGAGAACAGGUCAGCCACAACGACUCCUCUGUGGAGAGUGACUUCACAUUGGACUCUGAAAUCCCACCGAGCAAUCCCUCUUUUUUAUACAAGCGCAGGAAA